AUGAAACUAUUUCAGUAGAAAAACAAUUCACAUGUGAAUAUUGGCCAGUGUCACAAUGUAGGAGAUGACAAUCCAUUCCUGGACUGAUGGCCACCGUUCCAUCCGCACCAAGAUGAUAUAAUUAAAUAGCAUCAAGUAACCCAGAACAGGAACAUCAUGAACAGUAACAGCAGAAGCUUCCUGACAUCCUCCUGUCAGUAUACCCCAGUUCUGAUAAGGAGGAGUCACAGAGCCUGGGCUGGCCUCUGUGUCCAUGAAAUCCUUAGUGAUUCCUGCUGAGAUUUCCAGAAGAGGUGCCUGCGCUUGAAGUGACUAAAAAGAAACAACACAACUCCCUACAUGUUGUUACUGGCAUACACAGCUUCUAAGGACAUCUCUCAGAAGUCAGAAAGCCAGCCGGUGGAACUGAUGUUUAUUUUCCCACACUUUUUCAUUAAAGUCCAGAAUCCAAGACUA